rnacentral:rRNA from 1 species
UCCUACGGGAGGCAGCAGUGGGGAAUAUUGCACAAUGGGGGAAACCCUGAUGCAGCGACGCCGCGUGAGCGAUGAAGUAUUUCGGUAUGUAAAGCUCUAUCAGCAGGGAAGAAGAUGACGGUACCUGACUAAGAAGCCCCGGCUAACUACGUGCCAGCAGCCGCGGUAAUACGUAGGGGGCAAGCGUUAUCCGGAUUUACUGGGUGUAAAGGGAGCGUAGACGGCGAUGCAAGCCAGAUGUGAAAGCCCGGGGCUCAACCGGUACAGGCUCUGGAAACUGGCGGGCUAGAGAGCAGGAGAGGGCG